CACCAUACCAUAUUAUCACCAUACCUUAUUAUCACCAUACCAUAUUACCACCAUACCAUAUUAUCACCAUACUGAGAGACCUCACCAUACCAUAUUAUCACCAUACCAUAUUAUCACCAUACUGAGACCUCACCAUACCAUAUUAUCACCAUACCAUAUUAUCACCAUACUGAGGGACCUCACCAUACCAUAUUAUCACCAUACCAUAUUAUCACCAUACCAUAUUAUCUCCAUACCAUAUUAUCACCAUACCAUGUUAUCACCAUACCAUAUUAUCACCAUACCAUAUUAUCUCCAUACCAUAUUAUCACCAUACCAUAUUACCACCAUACCAUAUUAUCACCAUACCAUAUUAUCACCAUACCAUAUUAUCACCAUACCAUAUUACCACCAUACCAUAUUAUCACCAUACCAUAUUAUCACCAUACCAUAUUAUCACCAUACCAUAUUAUCACCAUACCAUACCAUAUUAUCACCAUACUGAGGGACCUCACCAUACCAUAUUGGAGGAAAGACAUUUUGUAGCGUAGCGUAGCAUAAGGUAACCAGUCCAUCCAGUAUGCAUAACAAUAAAGUCUGGAGUAUAGACUAGACCCGAGGAUGUACCAAAGAUAUCUUAAAUCAGUUUUGUUUCAUGUGUGUCUUCCAUGUGUAAUACGUGGUGGGCUAUGUAUUGUAUAACAGAACAAACUUCAUUUUAAUUAAAUUUUUAUAUUGGGCUCAUAUACAGGCCUAUGCCGAUGCAUCAGCAACUAAUAUGGUUGUGGGUGUUUUGAAUGAAUCAUCACCUUAGAAAGCGCUGUCCAUUUCCGUAUGUUGGGCUUUGAAACAACAUCCACUGCGGCCAUGUUUUCCCCUUCUGUUUCAACCUGCUGUUGAACUUCUUUCUUCAAAUUCAUCAUCACAGUGAGGUGAGUUUUGAAAGCAGGAUACUGUUUUGAUGAGUGUUUUGAUGUGAUUUUAGAUUGCAUUGAUGUCAGAGUGAUUAGACGAACAAUAGAGGCCUGAGUACCAGGACAUGUUGACCUGAUGGAGGGAGAAUAGAGGACUGAGUACCAGGACAUUAGGACCUGAUGGAGGGACAAUAGAGGCCUGAGUACCAGGACAUGUUGACCUGAUGGAGGGACAAUAGAGGCCUGAGUACCAGGACAUUAGCAGCUGGUGGAGGGAGAAUAGAGCCCUGAGUACCAGGACAUUAGCACCUGGUGGAGGAACAAUAGAAGCCUGAGUACCAGGACAUUAGCACCUGGUGGAGGAACAAUAGAGGCCUGAGUACCAGGACAUGUUGACCUGAUGGAGGGACAAUAGAGCCCUGAGUACCAGGACAUGUUGACCUGAUGGAGGGAGAAUAGAGCCCUGAGUACCAGGACAUUAGGACCUGAUGGAGGGACAAUAGAGGCCUGAGUACCAGGACAUGAUGACC
rnacentral:lncRNA from 13 species